CUAAUGCAACUGACAAAUUUUCUUAAUCUUGUCUUUUCCCUAUUUAAAUUUUCUUUAAAUGAACAAAAAUCACACAGAGAUCCACAAAUCUUCUGUAGUAAGAGAUCCCUUCAAUAGGAGGCGCUUUGAGUGUGAAAAUAAGCUCAACACUUGCUCGUGUGACAUGCCUGGUCAUGGCGAGGGUCACGGGGACACAGUACAGUAGUAAUGGCAGCAUCUUGCACCCUAACAUGCAUCUUUCCAAAUUCUGUCUUCAGUUGGUGGGGGCUGGUGAAACAGAAUCUAAAGAUUAAUGAGUAAACUGGAGCAAUAAUAAA